rnacentral:rRNA from 1 species
AUUGAACGCUGGCGGCAGGCUUAACACAUGCAAGUCGAGCGGAUGAGGGGUGCUUGCUCCGGGCUUCAGCGGCGGACGGGUGAGUAAUGCCUAGGAAUCUUCCUGUUAGUGGGGGAUAACGUCCGGGAAAGGGGGCUAAUACCCCAUACGUCCUGAGGUAGAAAGUGGGGGAUCUUCGGACCUCACGCUGUCAGAUGAGCCUACGUCGGAUUAGCUAGUUGGUGGGGUAAUGGCCUACCAAGGCGGCGAUCCGUAACUGGUCUGAGAGGAUGAUCAGUCACACUGGGACUGAGACACGGUACAGACUCCUACGGGAGGCAGAAGUGGGGAAUAUUGGACGAUGGGCGAAAGCCUGAUCCAGCCAUGCCGCGUGUGUGAAGAAGGUCUUCGGAUUGUAAAGCACUUUAAGUUGGGAGGAAGGGCAGCAAGUUAAUACCUUGCUGUUUUGACGUUACCAACAGAAUAAGCACCGGCUAACUUCGUG